rnacentral:rRNA from 1 species
GGUUAAGCGACUAAGCGUACACGGUGGAUGCCCUGGCAGUCAGAGGCGAUGAAGGACGUGCUAAUCUGCGAUAAGCGUCGGUAAGGUGAUAUGAACCGUUAUAACCGGCGAUUUCCGAAUGGGGAAACCCAGUGUGAUUCGUCACACUAUCAUUAACUGAAUCCAUAGGUUAAUGAGGCGAACCGGGGGAACUGAAACAUCUAAGUACCCCGAGGAAAAGAAAUCAACCGAGAUUCCCCCAGUAGCGGCGAGCGAACGGGGAGGAGCCCAGAGCCUGAAUCAGUGUGUGUGUUAGUGGAAGCGUCUGGAAAGGCGCGCGAUACAGGGUGACAGCCCCGUACACAAAAAUGCACAUGCUGUGAGCUCGAUGAGUAGGGCGGGACACGUGGUAUCCUGUCUGAAUAUGGGGGGACCAUCCUCCAAGGCUAAAUACUCCUGACUGACCGAUAGUGAACCAGUACCGUGAGGGAAAGGCGAAAAGAACCCCGGCGAGGGGAGUGAAAAAGAACCUGAAACCGUGUACGUACAAGCAGUGGGAGCACAGAGCAAUCUGUGUGACUGCGUACCUUUUGUAUAAUGGGUCAGCGACUUAUAUUCUGUAGCAAGGUUAACCGAAUAGGGGAGCCGAAGGGAAACCGAGUCUUAACUGGGCGUUAAGUUGCAGGGUAUAGACCCGAAACCCGGUGAUCUAGCCAUGGGCAGGUUGAAGGUUGGGUAACACUAACUGGAGGACCGAACCGACUAAUGUUGAAAAAUUAGCGGAUGACUUGUGGCUGGGGGUGAAAGGCCAAUCAAACCGGGAGAUAGCUGGUUCUCCCCGAAAGCUAUUUAGGUAGCGCCUCGUGAAUUCAUCUCCGGGGGUAGAGCACUGUUUCGGCAAGGGGGUCAUCCCGACUUACCAACCCGAUGCAAACUGCGAAUACCGGAGAAUGUUAUCACGGGAGACACACGGCGGGUGCUAACGUCCGUCGUGAAGAGGGAAACAACCCAGACCGCCAGCUAAGGUCCCAAAGUCAUGGUUAAGUGGGAAACGAUGUGGGAAGGCCCAGACAGCCAGGAUGUUGGCUUAGAAGCAGCCAUCAUUUAAAGAAAGCGUAAUAGCUCACUGGUCGAGUCGGCCUGCGCGGAAGAUGUAACGGGGCUAAACCAUGCACCGAAGCUGCGGCAGCGACGCUUAUGCGUUGUUGGGUAGGGGAGCGUUCUGUAAGCCUGUGAAGGUGUGCUGUGAGGCAUGCUGGAGGUAUCAGAAGUGCGAAUGCUGACAUAAGUAACGAUAAAGCGGGUGAAAAGCCCGCUCGCCGGAAGACCAAGGGUUCCUGUCCAACGUUAAUCGGGGCAGGGUGAGUCGACCCCUAAGGCGAGGCCGAAAGGCGUAGUCGAUGGGAAACAGGUUAAUAUUCCUGUACUUGGUGUUACUGCGAAGGGGGGACGGAGAAGGCUAUGUUGGCCGGGCGACGGUUGUCCCGGUUUAAGCGUGUAGGCUGGUUUUCCAGGCAAAUCCGGAAAAUCAAGGCUGAGGCGUGAUGACGAGGCACUACGGUGCUGAAGCAACAAAUGCCCUGCUUCCAGGAAAAGCCUCUAAGCAUCAGGUAACAUCAAAUCGUACCCCAAACCGACACAGGUGGUCAGGUAGAGAAUACCAAGGCGCUUGAGAGAACUCGGGUGAAGGAACUAGGCAAAAUGGUGCCGUAACUUCGGGAGAAGGCACGCUGAUAUGUAGGUGAAGCGACUUGCUCGUGGAGCUGAAAUCAGUCGAAGAUACCAGCUGGCUGCAACUGUUUAUUAAAAACACAGCACUGUGCAAACACGAAAGUGGACGUAUACGGUGUGACGCCUGCCCGGUGCCGGAAGGUUAAUUGAUGGGGUCAGCGCAAGCGAAGCUCUUGAUCGAAGCCCCGGUAAACGGCGGCCGUAACUAUAACGGUCCUAAGGUAGCGAAAUUCCUUGUCGGGUAAGUUCCGACCUGCACGAAUGGCGUAAUGAUGGCCAGGCUGUCUCCACCCGAGACUCAGUGAAAUUGAACUCGCUGUGAAGAUGCAGUGUACCCGCGGCAAGACGGAAAGACCCCGUGAACCUUUACUAUAGCUUGACACUGAACAUUGAGCCUUGAUGUGUAGGAUAGGUGGGAGGCUUAGAAGUGUGGACGCCAGUCUGCAUGGAGCCGACCUUGAAAUACCACCCUUUAAUGUUUGAUGUUCUAACGUUGACCCGUGAUCCGGGUUGCGGACAGUGUCUGGUGGGUAGUUUGACUGGGGCGGUCUCCUCCUAAAGAGUAACGGAGGAGCACGAAGGUUGGCUAAUCCUGGUCGGACAUCAGGAGGUUAGUGCAAUGGCAUAAGCCAGCUUGACUGCGAGCGUGACGGCGCGAGCAGGUGCGAAAGCAGGUCAUAGUGAUCCGGUGGUUCUGAAUGGAAGGGCCAUCGCUCAACGGAUAAAAGGUACUCCGGGGAUAACAGGCUGAUACCGCCCAAGAGUUCAUAUCGACGGCGGUGUUUGGCACCUCGAUGUCGGCUCAUCACAUCCUGGGGCUGAAGUAGGUCCCAAGGGUAUGGCUGUUCGCCAUUUAAAGUGGUACGCGAGCUGGGUUUAGAACGUCGUGAGACAGUUCGGUCCCUAUCUGCCGUGGGCGCUGGAGAACUGAGGGGGGCUGCUCCUAGUACGAGAGGACCGGAGUGGACGCAUCACUGGUGUUCGGGUUGUCAUGCCAAUGGCACUGCCCGGUAGCUAAAUGCGGAAGAGAUAAGUGCUGAAAGCAUCUAAGCACGAAACUUGCCCCGAGAUGAGUUCUCCCUGACUCCUUGAGAGUCCUGAAGGAACGUUGAAGACGACGACGUUGAUAGGCCGGGUGUGUAAGCGCAGCGAUGCGUUGAGCUAACCGGUACUAAUGAACCGUGAGGCUUAACCUU